GAUGAACGCUGGCGGCGUGCCUAAUACAUGCAAGUCGAGCGAACGGACGAGAAGCUUGCUUCUCUGAUGUUAGCGGCGGACGGGUGAGUAACACGUGGAUAACCUACCUAUAAGACUGGGAUAACUUCGGGAAACCGUAGCUAAUACCGGUUAAUAUUUUGAACCGCAUGGUUCAAAAGUGAAAGACGGUCUUGCUGUCACUUAUAGAUGGAUCCGCGCUGCAUUAGCUAGUUGGUAAGGUAACGGCUUACCAAGGCAACGAUGCAUAGCCGACCUGAGAGGGUGAUCGGCCACACUGGAACUGAGACACGGUCCAGACUCCGACGGGAGGCAGCAGUAGGGAAUCUUCCGCAAAGGGCGAAAGCCUGACGGAGCAACGCCGCGUGAGUGAUGAAGGUCUUCGGAUCGUAAAACUCUGUUAUUAGGGAAGAACAUAUGUGUAAGUAACUGUGCACAUCUUGACGGUACCUAAUCAGAAAGCCACGGCUAACUACGUG
rnacentral:rRNA from 1 species